CUAAACCUAGAAAAACAAUUUCAUUACACCGACCAGUCAUCAGAAAGGAUUGAAUCGAGCUUUCAUCCUAUCGCAAACAAUCCCCCACCGUAAUUUACUCUUGACCUUCAAGUCUUAAUUAUGUGAUAUGCUUCGUUGAUGAAAAGAUUCUUUGAGGAUAAUCCUGCGGAUUAUCUUCUCAUUAUUCUCACACAUCAUAACAAUAAGACCGAUCGAGCGUAUAAAUUCGCAGGAAAUACUUUGUCAAUAUGAUUCCAAAAUUCAAGGGACUCAAUCGCUCGCUGAACUCAACACCAAAGGCUACAAGUGGCCGUCCUUCGACAGCGUUAUCGUGUCAUUCCCCCUGGAGAUAUUGUCUCUCGAGAGCACGGUGAGACCUCUCUGCCUUACUCACCCCGAUAGAAGCUGAGCUCGCCGGUGGACAGGCUCAGCAGGAGCGGCAGCGUCAGCCAAGUGCAGCUCCACCGAAGGAGCAUCCUCUCGUGGUAGUCGUCGUCACUGCUGCUGGUCGGCUGCCGAGGCUGCUGUCCGCACACAAGAUGUACGACGAUCCUAUCGUCGCUCUAUUCGCGUCUCCAUAUGCGAGGAGCACGUCACUUCAUUCAGGGCGGAUGACGAGCUUGCGCGGUUCGGCGCUCGCUUUCACGUUCAAUCAAUAAAACCGACCACCGCCGAGAGACUUUCGCGCCCUUCCACGUCCCGCCUUCGUCUGAUCCCUCGACGUUUCGUUCUUUGAAAACGGCGCGACCUCCUCCUGUUUCGCCUCCAGCGCGAUUAACAUGAGCGCAUUAGGUACCAUUAAGCAUGUCCCCACUAUUCUGCACACCCGCAUAUGCACAUGUGCGGAUUUGUUCCGGACGUCAGACGACGCUUCCGAUUCGUAUUCCGUCUGUCGAGACCUUCAUUCUUCAGAGUUCAUUCGCCGGUUCGGUGUUCGAUGACAAUGAGGAAUGUUUUACUCCAUUCAUAAUGUACGGUUCGAUUGUGGAUGCUGUUGUGCUCCGGAACUAUCGGGAAAAAAGGACAAUGAUAGUUAAAUAAUGAUAGUAACGGCGAAUUUUUGAGUCGAUAUACUUUGGAUGUAAUACCCGAUCUGAUGAUACGCGUUUGAAUACAUCAUUGUUCUUGGAAACGUUUCACUUUGUAACAAUCAUUUAUUUAGUCAAGGUACAGCGAUCCAAGUAAAGAUAAUCAUUAUCUUUAAUGACAUCGACGGAUUAAGGUAUCUAAUUAAUGUAUCCCACAUAUGAUGUUUCGAUGAAUCCUCAUCCGGAAUUUACAAUCCGACAUAAUUUUCCGCUUUUGUCAGUUUAAUCGGCUUUCAUAAUGGAUAAAAUCAAAGUUAUAAAGUGGUACAAAAAUUCGAUUUAGUUAGCACAGCUAAAUGAUCAGCGCCUCAAUUGUCGUCCAUGAGAGAUUCGCCCUUCAAAAGUAACCGAAUCGGCUUGCGCUUCUCGUCGACCUUCUGCUUCCUUCUGCGGUUUAUCACGCCGUCAGAAGCAUCCAUCAUUCGCAAUAUCUGCGUCUGAUCCGAACAGUCGACCGGUGCGACGGAGAUGUCCCGUACGGCUCGAAACUUUCCGCAAUUGUUCAAAUGCUCGUUUUCCAAGCGGAAGAAAUUCCACACGAAACGCCUAUCGAGCAAACAUUCCAACAUUAUGUGACAGUUCAAUUUCCCCCAACUCAAUCUCUUACCAUAUACACACACAUAUAUAAAUAUGUAAAUAUAUAAAUAUAUGUAUAUGUAUAUAUAUUUGUAAUUUAUCUAAAUUGAGAAAAAAUCACAUAUAUCGUGCAAACUAUACAAUACAAAACAUCCAAUGAGAUUAAAGAAUAUUAUGCAAAUCUAUAUAUACAUAUAUAUAGCGAUAUUUCAUCAACUUCAGAGAUAAGUCGAAUUUAAAUAUACAUCUUGAAACAAACAAAUUAAAUAUCUUUAAACAAGAUAAAAAAGACAAAUUACAACGUAUCAAACACUGCAAUCAUCAGACUCCACUAUUCGUUUUCAUUGUCGUUGUUGUCAUCUGCGUUGUUAUCAUCCAUCAGACGGAUCAUGUUCCUGAUACCAUCGUCCUCGUCGCGUCUGAUAGGUCCUAUGGAGAUGUCCCGCACUGCCCGGAACUUGCCUACGUUGUACAGAUGCUCGUUCUCCAGUCGAAAGUAAUUCCACAUGAACCUUCUAGCGACUUAUUAGUAUAAGGCACAUUGAUAAGCGAUUAGAUCGGCCGGUCUAUCGUCGAUUAAGUCCCCAGAUAGCCACAGUAAUUAUUAUGACAUUACUUUGCUGUCAAAAUGACGUAAUUUGACGUCAGAAUAAUAUUACUUUUGCUAUCUGGGUCGUAAUUUUCUCAACGAUUAUUUCGUAACUAUUAUACAGAGCGAUCGACAUUAGAAUAAAGUAGCUUGAAACAAUUUCGAGUGCAAAUAAUCAUGUAUGCAUGCACAUUUCUUAAACAUUAAUUAUCGAGAAUAACGAUAUAACGAUACAAAUUGA